rnacentral:rRNA from 1 species
ACGGUAACAGGUCUUCGGAUGCUGACGAGUGGCGAACGGGUGAGUAAUACAUCGGAACGUGCCCAGUAAUGGGGGAUAGCUCGGCGAAAGCCGGAUUAAUACCGCAUACGCCCUGAGGGGGAAAGUGGGGGACCGCAAGGCCUCACGUUAUUGGAGCGGCCGAUGGCUGAUUAGCUAGUUGGUAGGGUAAAGGCCUACCAAGGCGACGAUCAGUAGCUGGUCUGAGAGGACGAUCAGCCACACUGGGACUGAGACACGGCCCAGACUCCUACGGGAGGCAGCAGUGGGGAAUUUUGGACAAUGGGGGAAACCCUGAUCCAGCAAUGCCGCGUGUGCGAAGAAGGCCUUCGGGUUGUAAAGCACUUUUGUCAGGGAAGAAAUCCUUUGGGCUAAUACCCUAGGGGGAUGACGGUACCUGAAGAAUAAGCACCGGCUAACUACGUGCCAGCAGCCGCGGUAAUACGUAGGGUGCAAGCGUUAAUCGGAAUUACUGGGCGUAAAGCGUGCGCAGGCGGUUGUGUAAGACAGGUGUGAAAUCCCCGGGCUUAACCUGGGAAUUGCAUUUGUGACUGCACGACUAGAGUGUGUCAGAGGGGGGUGGAAUUCCACGUGUAGCAGUGAAAUGCGUAGAUAUGUGGAGGAACACCAAUGGCGAAGGCAGCCCCCUGGGAUAACACUGACGCUCAUGCACGAAAGCGUGGGGAGCAAACAGGAUUAGAUACCCUGGUAGUCCACGCCCUAAACGAUGUCAACUAGUUGUUGGGGAUUUACUUCCUUGGUAACGUAGCUUACGCAUGAAGUUGACCGCCUGGGGAGUACGGCCGC